GCGAGCGGCGGAUGGGUGAGUAACACGUGGGGAACCUGCCCCUAAGUCUGGGAUACCAUUUGGAAACAGGUGCUAAUACCGGAUAAUAAAGCAGAUCGCAUGAUCAGCUUUUGAAAGGCGGCGUAAGCUGUCGCUAAGGGAUGGCCCCGCGGUGCAUUAGCUAGUUGGUAAGGUAACGGCUUACCAAGGCGACGAUGCAUAGCCGAGUUGAGAGACUGAUCGGCCACAUUGGGACUGAGACACGGCCCAAACUCCUACGGGAGGCAGCAGUAGGGAAUCUUCCACAAUGGACGCAAGUCUGAUGGAGCAACGCCGCGUGAGUGAAGAAGGUUUUCGGAUCGUAAAGCUCUGUUGUUGGUGAAGAAGGAUAGAGGUAGUAACUGGCCUUUAUUUGACGGUAAUCAACCAGAAAGUCACGGCUAACUACGUGCCAGCAGCCGCGGUAAUACGUAGGUGGCAAGCGUUGUCCGGAUUUAUUGGCGUAAAGCGAGCGCAGGCGGAAAAAUAAGUCUAAUGUGAAAGCCCUCGGCUUAACCGAGGAACUGCAUCGGAAACUGUUUUUCUUGAGUGCAGAAGAGGAGAGUGGAACUCCAUGUGUAGCGGUGGAAAUGCGUUAGAUAUAUGGAAGACACCAGUGGCGAAGGCGGCUCUUCUGGUCUGCAACUGACGCUGAGGCUCGAAAGCAUGGGGUAGCGAAC
rnacentral:rRNA from 1 species